rnacentral:lncRNA from 1 species
GGCUCUGAUAUUAAGCUUUAGCAAGCUCAUUCUUGAGACUGGGGUGUGACUCGCCUACUUGCCUGGCAUAUACAGAGCCCGAGUGUCAUUUCUCUAGAAAUGAAAAAUUAAGAUACUAAGUCUGUUUUCCUUUCACCUGCCAUCCACACAGUUAACCCUCCUUCAGAUCUGCCCGUGCCUCAGUGUGCUGCAAGAGUCAAAUGGGCCGAUUGCCUUGAGAACAAUCUCUAAGCCACCGCCGCCGAGAGUCAGGAGAGGACAGCCAUCACCAUGGAACCGUCAGCCGCAUCCACCCACCCACACCAUCCGAACUGGGGCUGGCAAAGGCAGUGUGACAACAUCCCGAGAAGAUUCUGGAAGAAGGUGUUUCCACUCCACACCAGCUGGGCCACUGAGACGAUUAUCCUCGUCCCAAGUCUAUCUACUUACAAGUCCAGGUAACAGCAGAGUGCUUCACACAGCCUCAGAGAAUGCAUCAUGCUUCCCUGAAUGGCCACCCCAGCCAGCUCCUUUUCCUCUACCUGGAUUCAGAAACAGGAGCUGCACCAACCUGGUGACGUGACGUCCGGGUGGGAAGGCGUGGGAGAUAGAGCUCACAGUUUUCCCGGUCCUGAUAUAUAGGCCACCCCACACCCCCACCCCAUUCCCUGGUGACUCACUCCACCUCUCUGUUGCAGUCUGAUGAACAACUUGAGCCAUUAAGGAAUGGAACAAAUUACUAAAUGGGAGACACAAAAGAAACCCAGGAUAAAUUAUAAACGAUGCUCUCUC